GAAUAUUGCGCAAUGGGGGAAACCCUGACGCAGCGACGCCGCGUGAGCGAUGAAGGCUUUAGGGUCGUAAAGCUCUUUUGUAAGGGAAGAAUGUCGGGGAGGAUAAUACCCUACUCGAAUGACGGUACCUUACGAAUAAGCCCCGGCUAACUACGUGCCAGCAGCCGCGGUAAGACGUAGGGGGCGAGCGUUGUCCGGAAUUACUGGGCGUAAAGAGCACGUAGGCGGAUAUUUAAGUCAGGUGUGAAAGACCGCAGCUCAACUGCGGGAUUGCACCUGAAACUGGGCAUCUUGAGGGCAGGAGAGGGCAGUGGAAUUCCUGGUGUAGCGGUGAAAUGCGUAGAAAUCAGGAGGAACACCAGUGGCGAAGGCGACUGUCUGGACUGACCCUGACGCUGAGGUGCGAAAG
rnacentral:rRNA from 1 species